rnacentral:lncRNA from 1 species
AGACCCGGAGGCCGUGGCUGUGGUUCGCGGCGGUGCUGUCGCGGGCGCCCUGGCGCAGCCCACGCAGGGGCUCCUGAGGGUCCGCGAGGCCGGGAGGUCCGGGGGUCGGGAGGUCCCGGGGUCGGGAAGUCGGUGGACCCUGCAGGCCAGUGGGGAGGGGAGACAUAAGACAUCAGUCAGUACAUGUGAGGUGUGCAUUGGAUUGAUCCAGAAAGUCAGGACGACUCCAAGUGGAAAGGCCUCCAGCCAGUUGUCACAUCAUUUAUUGAAAAAGGAAUCUUUUCUCCACCGACUGACAUGAAAUGCUACCAUCAUCGUAAAUAAAAUUCCCGUAAAUACUUGCUGUCUCUGCUGUCUCAGUCCUGACUCACGGGCUGAGUUCUCUUUCUGCACAGUAGCACUGGCAUUAACUGUGACAGCUUUACAGCAGGCUCCCUCCCCGAGGCCGUUCAGAAGCAUUCCUCAGCGGGUCCUACACGUUUCCUCUCCCAUGUCAAGUUUAGAAGCAGUGUCAAGACCCACAGCAGUCCUGCGGGAGUUUUAAGGGAUGCACGGAGUUUAUGGGGACAGUUUGGAAAAUUGACAUUCAUGUGACUUAGAGUCCUACUACUUGAAAAUGGAUUCCAGCUCUCAACGAAUUUAGAGCUUUGGCAAAAUUUUUAAGAUUUCUUUGAUGUCCGAUGUGCUCAUUUCUUGGUUUGUUCUUGAGUAUUUUGUGGAUUUUUAUGAAAUCCACAAAGUUUUUGUUAUAAUGAAUGGGACACUUUCCCAUAAAAUGUUGUAAUUCUGUAUUGCUGUUUUAGUAAACACUGUUGAUUGAUGUA